rnacentral:tRNA from 1 species
CGCUCCUAAAGGAUAACAGCCUAUCCAUUGGUCUUAGGAACCAAAAACUCUUGGUGCAAAUCCAAGUAGUAGC